ensembl:lncRNA
GGCUGCGGGCGGCGCGGGGCUGCGGGGCGGCUUUGAUCCGCGCCCCGCAGCGCUGAUGGACGGCCGAACCGUUCGUUUCGUUUCCUUCUCGAGGUGGUGGCACAGAGCUCCAUCCCAGUGCUCCCAGUAAGCGGCUGUCCCCAGCCUUGCACCAGGACUGGAUGUUGGUGACUCACAGAGCGCAGACCCCAAAGGCACAGCUGGGAGCUCAGCUCCAUCCCGCUGUGCACUGCAGUGAAUCACUUCCAGCAGGAGAUGCUGCGGCCUCAGACGGUGCCGUGGGAUGCAAAGCAGGGGGUUCGUUCCGUAGGGAGCGUCGUGGCUUCAUCCUGUCUGCGUGCACACACUGCCUGCCCAACGCUCCGCGCUGCUCUGCCCACAAAGGAAGAUGCAAAGCUCCUCUUGCAGAUACCAGCCCACAAGCGCAGAGUUCCUGGAGCUUCUCCAUGCUGGGCUCCAUCCCAGCCCCAUUGGUUCCCAUCCUGCAGUUCGUGCUCAGCUCUCACAGCAUCCGCCCCCCCCGACCUCCCCACAGCUCCCUGUUUGCCCAUCCUUCACACCCCUUAUCCCCAUUGCUCCAUGCACUUUGGCACCACGCUGUCCCUCCCUCCUCUCCCACCAUCCUAAAAUCCCAGCAAGGCCAAGAAGAAGCCAAUCCCCUUUUCUCCACCAUGCACAGAACCAGAUCUGCUUCCAAAGGAGUGGAGGUGAGGUGGAAACGUAUCUGUGUGUGCAGUUACCUCUGCCUGCAUGCAGCUCCAAACCACCCCAACAUCCAUCCAUCCCUCCCCGUGCAGAGACCCACUCAGUCCUCCUGCAUCGGCUUCAACGUCUGUGGGAAAGCAGAGCAGUCAGCAAUGAGGAAGGCAUUUAUGGGAGGAUUUGCUUCAUCUGCUUCUGGAAAAAGCUGAUAAAGCAAUAAAUAAGGGGCUGGAAGGGCAGGGAGCGAAACUGCCCCCGGAUGUUCGCUUUGGAGGUUGGAAUUGGGAGUGAGAAUAACGGAGGGGAAUUGUGUUUCUCCCUUCCCAACGGCGAGCAGAGCUGGAUGGGACCCAAAAGGAAGGCACCAACAAACCAGCACGGUUGCAUGGCUUCCCUCAGGCUGUUCUCCCAAAGCCCACCGGUGGGAUGAGGCCACAAAGCGCAGAGCAGAGGGGCAGUCGGGUGAUGCUGCUGAUGCACGUCCCAAAGAACGCGGAGUUAUUUCUAUGUGAGCGGCUUUGCGCUCACAGCUGACUCAGUGCUCAGCAUCUCCUCCCUCCGAGCUCUGGGCCAAACCAGAGCUGCGCCAGGGAUGGAGGGAAGGUCCUGGGUCCUCUCCGUGGCCCAUGUGGGGCAGCGCCUUAGCUUGAGUUGGGGUGGGAUGGGAGAGGAUGGGGUGCGCACCCUCCCACUGCCACGUGGCCGUCGCCCUCCAUUGCUCUGCUAUCAGUAAAUGGGUUGGAAAGAAGAAGAAUUUGGGGGGGAGGGGGGAAGGGUGAGGAUCCUUCCCCACCCCACCUACACCAGCAGGCAGGAGGUGGACUCAAUGGUCCCUAUGGGUCCCUUCCAGCCUGGGAGACUCCAUGACCCUGUAACACUUCUCUGUAACUCUGUCCCUACAGCCCACGUAAAACCCCUUUGCCCUCCUCGCAGCCCUUGGGCAGAAAGCCCCCAAAACUCCAAAAACCUCCCAAAACCCAAACCCUGAAGGCAUCACAGAGCGAAGGGCAGCCGCUCCACCUCCAUCCCAAACGACCUUCCUGCUGGGGAAGAAGAGCCCACAGAAACCCCAAGCAGCCAAGUGAUGCCUGCGGUGGUCCCACUGCCCUCCAUCCCAUGGAUGUCCCCAUGCCUGGAGAUGGGGCUGGGGGAGGGUGGGCUGUGGGAUCACGGCCCCAUUUGGGCACCUCCGAGGGCAGAGCCCCACUGGGCUGCUCCCCACCCUCUGCUCCCCCCGUCCUGCAGCAGACACCGCUCACAGCCCCAGCAGCACAUGUGGGAGGGCCCCGCCAGCCUUCAAAGCUCCAUCUGGGGGGGGGAAUGGGAGGGGGGGGGGGAGACGAAAGGGCCGCUUCCACUCCUGGCCUGAGAUGAAAGGAAAUGUUUCCCUCCGCGCCUGGAAUGAGUUCUGGUGCUUUGGAGCUGAGGCUGAGGCCCAUUUCCUGAGCGCCACAGCGAGGAGCUUUCAUUUGCACGGGGACUUUGCUGAUGGGACGCGGGAGCAGCUGGCUGAGAUGUCAGCGUGUGCCCAUCCCUGAGCACAGGGGAUGCAGCUCUGGGGAUGCUCUCUCUCACACUUCCCCCUGUGCCCCCAAUUUGCUCAGCCUGAGGCUGACGAAAGCCUUUGUCACCACCCCCAGGGUGACAGCAUCCCUUGGGUAAGCUGACAAAGCCACCCUGGGGGCACAGAGAGGGGAUGUGGGAUCCUGCAUGGCCAAUGGGGCCAACCUGAGCGCCAGCCUUUCCUCGUUCUGUCAGAGGAAGUUCUAUUCUGAUUAAAACCCG